rnacentral:rRNA from 1 species
AGAGUUUGAUUCUGGCUCAGAUUGAACGCUGGCGGCGUGCUUAACACAUGCAAGUCGAACGUGAAAGUCCUUCGGGGCGAGUAAAGUGGCGCACGGGUGAGUAACGCGUGGAUAAUCUACCCUUAAGAUGGGGAUAACGGCUGGAAACGGUCGCUAAUACCGAAUACGCUCCCGAUUUUAUCGUUGGGGGGAAAGAUGGCCUCUGCUUGCAAGCUAUCGCUUAAGGAUGAGUCCGCGUCCCAUUAGCUGGUUGGCGGGGUAACGGCCCACCAAGGCGACGAUGGGUAGCCGGUCUGAGAGGAUGACCGGCCACACUGGAACUGGAACACGGUCCAGACUCCUACGGGAGGCAGCAGUGGGGAAUAUUGCGCAAUGGGCGAAAGCCUGACGCAGCGACGCCGCGUGAGGGAUGAAGGUUCUCGGAUCGUAAACCUCUGUCAGGGGGGAAGAAACCCCCUCGUGUGAAUAAUGCGAGGGCUUGACGGUACCCCCAAAGGAAGCACCGGCUAACUCCGUGCCAGCAGCCGCGGUAAUACGGAGGGUGCAAGCGUUAAUCGGAAUCACUGGGCGUAAAGCGCACGUAGGCGGCUUGGUAAGUCAGGGGUGAAAUCCCACAGCCCAACUGUGGAACUGCCUUUGAUACUGCCAGGCUUGAGUACCGGAGAGGGUGGCGGAAUUCCAGGUGUAGGAGUGAAAUCCGUAGAUAUCUGGAGGAACACCGGUGGCGAAGGCGGCCACCUGGACGGUAACUGACGCUGAGGUGCGAAAGCGUGGGUAGCAAACAGGAUUAGAUACCCUGGUAGUCCACGCU